ensembl:snRNA U6 U6 spliceosomal RNA
GUGCUCGCUUCGGCAGCACAUGUACUAAAACUGGAACGAGACAGAGAAGAUUAGCAGGCCCCUGCACAAGGAUGACACGCAAAUUCAAAUUCGUGGUGUUCCAUAUUUUU